rnacentral:rRNA from 1 species
ACGGGAGGCAGCAGUGGGGAAUAUUGGGCAAUGGGCGAAAGCCUGACCCAGCAACGCCGCGUGAAGGAAGAAGGUCUUCGGAUUGUAAACUUCUUUUAUGAGGGACGAAGGACGUGACGGUACCUCAUGAAUAAGCCUCGGCUAACUACGUGCCAGCAGCCGCGGUAAUACGUAGGUGGCAAGCGUUAUCCAGAUUUACUGGGUGUAAAGGGCGCGUAGGCGGGGAUGCAAGUCAGAUGUGAAAUCCAUGGGCUUAACUCAUGAACUGCAUUUGAAACUGUAUCUCUUGAGUGCUGGAGAGGUAGAUGGAAUUCCUUGUGUAGCGGUGAAAUGCGUAGAUAUAAGGAGGAACACCAGUGGCGAAGGCGGCUUUCUGGACUGUAACUGACGUUGAGGCGCGAAAGCGUGGGGAGCAAACAGGAUUAGAUACCCUGGUA